rnacentral:tRNA from 1 species
GACCCCGCCGGCAGUAUUUCCUAAAGCCGAGGUCGCAGGUUGGAGUCCUGCCGGGGUCGCCA